UGGGGAAUAUUGCACAAUGGGGGAAACCCUGAUGCAGCGACGCCGCGUGAGUGAAGAAGUAUUUCGGUAUGUAAAGCUCUGUCAGCAGGGAAGAAAAUGACGGUACCUGACCAAGAAGCCCCGGCUAACUACGUGCCAGCAGCCGCGGUAAUACGUAGGGGCAAGCGUUAUCCGGAUUUACUGGGUGUAAAGGGAGCGUAGACGGCUGGGCAAGUCUGAAGUGAAAGCCCGGGGCCAACCCCGGGACUGCUUUGGAAACUGUCUGGCUGGAGUGCAGGAGAGGUAAGCGGAAUUCCUAGUGUAGCGGUGAAAUGCGUAGAUAUUAGGAGGAACACCAGUGGCGAAGGCGGCUUACUGGACUGUCACUGACGUUGAGGCUCGAAAGCGUGGGGAGCAAACAGGAUUAGAUACCCUGGUAGU
rnacentral:rRNA from 1 species